rnacentral:lncRNA from 13 species
UUAAGAGCAGUUGGAGGCCACGGAAGGAGAGUUAUAUGGCAUUGAAGCUCGUUUGGAGGUUAGUUAACACAGUGUCCAAGGAGGAGCCAGAAGUAUACAGAAUGGUGUCGUCUGCGUAGAGGUGGAUCAGAGAAUCACCAGCAGCAAGAGCGACAUCAUUGAUGUAUACAGAGAAGAGAGUCGGCCCAUCAUUGCACAGCAUUUCAACACUGUAUUAUUACACACACACACCAUUUAAAAUGUCUCUAUUCCUUUGGAACUCGUGAGUGUAAACAAACAACAAAUGAUCUAUUUAACUUGUUUUGGAUAAACAUGUAUGUUUGGCAUGCCAAUAAAACCCAUUGAAUUGAGAGAGAGAGAGAACAGUGUCAGUCAGUGAAAAGAGGUAAAUAGAGACAGUUUCCUGGUUCUCCUCUCCGUCUCUAACACUCCACAGCUGUGAUCUUAUCAGUACAAACCUCUCAUUAAUCAACUCCAUAUUAGAUCCAUUGUGACAAUUGUACCAAGCAGCAAAAGCUUUACAAUAAACCCCCCAUUCUUUAACGCGUGAUAAUUAAAAUCUUAACUUCCUAUAAAGAAACACAUUAAGCUUCUGUUCAUUAUUUUUGUUAUUAUCUUCUCUUUAAUAAGGGAAAACCAUUGAUGACAUUUCCAAAUGGUGUCCUGAGAACAGUUCAAGCCAUGUGAGCAAUAAUUUCAGUUACAACACUUUAAAUAAAUGACUUUGCAUUUAGAAACAAAUCUACCAUCAAAAAAAGUGCCCUUUUCAUCGGCCACAUUGUUUAUCAGAGCCCUAAAUUCAACUUUUGGGACUCCUCCUCCCAGCCUGAUCUCAGUACAGGCUUUAAUCCUGAGCUGUUCUCCUCCUCUCAGCCUGAUCUCAGUACAGGCUUUAACCCUGAGCUGUUCUCCUCCUCUCAGCCUGAUCUCAGUACAGGCUUUAAUCCUGAGGGAUGUGCUGUCGGAGCAAGGCUCUCUCUCUCUCUCUCUCUCUCUCUCUCUCCCUCUCUCCUCUCCAGCUCUCCAUCUUUCGCCAUCUCCCCUACCUCCCCUCAUUAAGUCAACACACAGACCAAUGAAUCAGCAUGGUUGAGUAAUGAGCUGGACAAUGUGCUGGGUAAGUAUAACAACCCCAACCCUUUACACCUGAUAAGGUAUCAACACUGAAGACACCAGGGCAAAUAUUAUGUACAGUUCAAUCAAUAUACAGUAUUAUGCUACUCAUAAGUAUUUUUACCAAUAAUACUUGUCUGGAGGGAGAGGGGGAGCAGCACAUUCAUACCCAAGUCAUACGACUACUAAAUAGUUAAAUAUAAAUCAACAAAAUAUUAAAACGCAACAUGUAAAAAGUGUUGAUCCCGUUUUUUCAUGAAAUAAAAUAAAUAAGUCCCAGAAAUGUUCAAUUCCCAUAAAAAUAUUGUGCUAAAAAAUGUGCUUCCUGUUAGUCAUUUCUCCUUUGCCAAGAUAAUCUAUCCACCUGACAGGUGUGGUAUAUCAAAAAGCUGAUUAAACAGCAUGAACAUUACACAGGUGCACCUUGUGCUGGGGACAAUAAAAUGCCAGUAAAAUGUGCAGUUUUGUCACAACACAAUGCCACAGAUGUCUCAGGUUUUGAGGGGGCGUACGACUGGCAUACCGACUGCAGGAAUGUCCACCAGAACUGUUGCCAGAUAAUUUAAUGUUUAUUUCUCUACCAUAAGCCGCCUCCAACAUCAUUUUACAGAAUUUGGCAGUAAGUCCAACCGGCCUUAAAAGACCACGUGUAACCACGCCAACCCAGGACGUCCACAUCCGGCUUCUUCACCUGCAGGAUCGUCUGAGACCAGCCACCCGGACAGCUGAUCAAACGGAGUAUUUCUGUCUGCAAUAAAUCCCUUUUGUGGGGAAAAGGGGGCUUUACUGAGGACUUGGUUUACAAGACAAAACAUGUCUCAGAGCCUACUUAAAAUACAAGGAGGAAGUGACUAAGGGUAGACAGGAGGAAGUGACUAAGGGUAGACAGGAAGAAGUGACUAAGGGUAGACAGGAGGAAGUGACUAAGGGUAGACAGGAGGAAGUGACUAAGGGUAGACAGGAGGAAGUGACUAAGGGUAGACAGGAGGAAGUGACUAAGGGUAGACAGGAGGAAGUGACUAGACAGGAGG